GAUGAACGCUAGCGGCAGGCCUAACACAUGCAAGUCGAGGGGCAACACAAAAGGUAGCUUGCUAUCUUUGGUGGCGACCGGCGCACGGGUGCGUAACGCGUAUGCAACCUACCCAUAACAGGGGGAUAACACUGAGAAAUUGGUACUAAUACCCCAUAAUAUUUUGGAAGGCAUCUUCUGAAGUUGAAAACUCCGGUGGUUAUGGAUGGGCAUGCGUUGUAUUAGCUAGUUGGUGAGGUAACGGCUCACCAAGGCGACGAUACAUAGGGGGACUGAGAGGUUAACCCCCCACAUUGGUACCUGAGACACGGACCAAACUCCUACGGGAGGCAGCAGUGAGGAAUAUUGGUCAAUGGACGCAAGUCUGAACCAGCCAUGCCGCGUGCAGGAAGACGGCUCUAUGAGUUGUAAACUGCUUUUGAUGAGGGUAAAAAUUAGGUACGUGUACCUAACUGAAAGUAUCAUACGAAUAAGGAUCGGCUAAACUCCGUG
rnacentral:rRNA from 1 species